rnacentral:rRNA from 1 species
GUAGGUGGCAAGCGUUGUCCGGAAUUAUUGGGCGUAAAGCGCGCGCAGGCGGUUCUUUAAGUCUGAUGUGAAAGCCCACGGCUCAACCGUGGAGGGUCAUUGGAAACUGGAGAACUUGAGUACAGAAGAGGAAAGCGGAAUUCCACGUGUAGCGGUGAAAUGCGUAGAGAUGUGGAGGAACACCAGUGGCGAAGGCGGCUUUCUGGUCUGUAACUGACGCUGAGGCGCGAAAGCGUGGGGAGCAAACAGGAUUAGAUACCCUGGUAGUCCACGCCGUAAACGAUGAGUGCUAAUGUUAGGGGGUUUCCGCCCCCCUUAGUGCUGCAGCUAACGCAUUAAGCACUCCGCCUGGGAGUACGGCCGCAAGGCUA